AAACAUCGCCUCUUGCAAUUCAAGAAUAAGAGGUCCUGCCUGCCCGGUGACUAUGUUUAACGGCCGCGGUACCCUGACCGUGCAAAGGUAGCGCAAUCACUUGUCUUUUAAAUGGAGACCUGUAUGAAUGGCUAGACGAGGGCUAAACUGUCUCCUCCCCCAAGUCAAUGAAACUGAUCUCUCCGUGAAGAAGCGGGGAUGAUAACAUAAGACGAGAAGACCCUGUGGAGCUUUAGACAUAAGAUAGACCAGGUCAAACCCCUAAUUAAAGGCCUAUGACCAACGGUUACUAUCUGACUGUCUUCGGUUGGGGCGACCGCGGAGAAAAGCAAAACCCCCGCGUGGAAUAGGACAUCUACUAUUAAUCCUUAAAUUCAGGGCGACAGCCCAGACAGACAGAACUUCUGGCCAAUAGAUCCGGUUUAACCGAUUUACGGAAUGAGUUACCCCAGGGAUAACAGCGCAAUCCCCUCCUAGAGUCCAUAUCGACAAGGGGGUUUACGACCUCGAUGUUGGAUCAGGACAUCCUAUUGGUGCAGCCGCUAUUAAGGGU
rnacentral:rRNA from 1 species